UGUUUUGGUUGCUAAGUUGGGUGUGGAUUUGUUUUGUAUACCUGCACGUGCAUAGUUUUUUUUUUUUUAUCUUUAAUAAUAACUUAUGUGGACCAUCUGUUUCUAUUUUGCUAUCGCUGUUCAAAGUAGCUGUCGAGAUGUGGACCCAUCAGAAGGUUUGCCACACGUGUUGGGGAGCAGAGAGGUGAGACAAAGGUCGCCUGGGAUAGCACACAUACCGGUCUUCAUGCUAGCCAGAGGUCCGUGCGUGUAAGUUCUGUGGGUGAUCUUCCUCCGCCUUGGCAAGUGAUUGCCACUGCGCGCUUCUCCACGGAUCCUUCUCCUGCGCCGGCUUGGGGAUGCUGUACCUCUGAUGUCGCUGGUGGGCCCGGGGCUUCCGCCGGGUUUGACUGAGACAGUGAACAGCUCUCACUCCCCCCCCUUCUCUCUCCCCUAUUUGAAUUGUCUGUGUGUGCUUGAAGAUGAGGUAAUUAAAUACAUCCUUGAAGGAUACAGAAAGCAAUAACACUCCUCUCCUUGCCUGAUUCUGGGGGAGCACAAUUCCUUAAACUACCAGGUUGGCUUGUCAAAUGAGUUAUUGUUUUUCAAAAUAUAGCCUGAACGGCAUCCGUUAUAAUUAAGGCUUCUGGCUUUCGGUUUAAAGUGAUAUUUGCCAGUAAAAGCCUGCCAAAAAAUAAAUAAAUAAAAGCGGGCUUACCGUUAAAUAUUGAUUUAAGCUUGGAAACUGGCUCCAAAUUUUGUUAUACCAGUCUUGAUCUCUGUGGCCUCUGGGCAUCUGUUUCAAUUUGGUCAAAUUGAAAUGGGGAGGGACAGUGCCAGGCUAACAGCAAGGUGAUCCAAUAUAGUACGAUGAGUUGUAUUUGAUGAAAAAGAGCCAGGCAGAGUCAUCUACAGAUCCUGGGGACAGGUGAACUGGGCUCAGCUACAAUAAGAGCUGAUGGGCAUCUUAAUUCAUCUUAUGGGCUGACCUGAGCCGAUGAUGGGUUUUCUGUAAUGUAAAAAAUGUUGAGUAAUCUUUUGGGGGCAGUAUGGGAUUUUUGUUUUGUGUUGUUUCUGCCUUUCUGCAUAUCCUGCUAGAGGCAGGCUUCUCCUCCAGCUGGCCACUUUCCUCAGGAUCCUUUCAUGUCACUGGCAGGGAUAUUAAACAGCCCAGAUAGAAAACUUUUUCCUGUGAACUGAAUUUCUCGCUCCCUAACUGGAGGUUUUCUCCUAUCCAGGAGAAAAGGUGAGGUCCUCAGGAGAAUUUUCUCCCCCAGAAUGUAUUUACUUGAGGCUUGUUAUUAUCCACCUCUGUCUCUGACAAGAGAAGGCAAACAGGAAGAGGAGGGUUAAAAGUUCCUGAAAAAAGGGCUCUUGAUGAGACUGAGCUCCACGGGUGCAGAGGGCCUGAGAUCCAUUCAUUUCGACAACCUCAGUUAUUCCGGUGCCUCUCAUCAUCUGUAAAGUUAACAAGGGCUGAUAAGACAUGAUGAGGCAGGGUACUGGUUUGUAUUUCCAGCCUCAUAAAUAUUUCACAAUACCAUUUUCUUACAAUCAGAUACAUUAGUUUGCCAAGUGUGGAUGCUGCUGGAUGCUCGCUUGGUGCUGGUGUUUCACAAAAGCCCUGCUUUUAAACCGGCACAUUUAGGGCCUUGAGGUGCACAUCACUUGCCACUGUACCUUGCUUUCAAAUGCAUGUUCUAAUUCGGGUGAGAGAGUUGCUGUCUGACCUCUAGAAACUGCUGCUGUCUACCUUGAAAAAUAUAUUGUUAUGCUCUACAGGCAAAAAAGCAUCCCUCUUAGCCACAUUCUCAUAUUCUUUUUCGUUUUCCAGCCCUGCUAUGCCCUUGUGUUUCUUUGUACUUCACACUGUGGACAGUAGAAUCAGGAGCCAGAGGGUGAAUUUAAUUUGGAACAGACCCCCCUGUCUUGAUAGAACUGCCUUUACUCAGGCUCAAACACAGCAACCUGCAAUUUCCUGAGGCCGUAACUCAGCCGGGGCUCUCACAGGCUCUAAAAAUGAAGUCCAGACUCAGCACCUCUCAGAGCUCACCCAGCUCCUACCAACAACACAGAGUGGUGUGGACGCCCGAGUCAGUCGAGUAGCAAUGGUUUUCUCCCUGAUGUAAUCAAACGGAGUGCACGGAUAUCACUUGAUUAACAGCUGCGGUAUUAAUUUCCCUUUUUGGUUGCUUGACUCACAGCAAGAAUCAUGUCAAGGCAGCAGAGAAGCAAUUAAAUUGAUUUUAAUCUUUGUCAGAGAAGAUAACAUGCCUCUUUCUCUUCUCAUUUAAAUAAUUAAAGUUUCAGUAGGUAUUAUUUCUGGCUUUAAAGAAAUUGGUAUCUUAAUGUAAUAGAAUCAUUGUAAUUAUAUACUUAAUGGUUCUUAAUAAGUUAAUCAUGGUUUUUCAUUUAAAAUGUAUUUUUUACUUAUUAAAUUUUUUUGUUAUAGUAUCUUUGCUUUUAAGGAGAAGGGGGGAAACACAAAGAAAUAGAUAUAAAACAGUUCUGUCAUUUCUCAUUAUUAAUCCUUUCAACAGCUAUCUCCUCCUCCUUUUGUGGUGCGUUGGACUUAAGUUUGAAGUAAUAUUUUUACAUUUCAGUGCAUUUACAAGAAGCCCACUUCUUUUAAUGACAACAUAUUUAAUUUUAAUGAUGAUGGAGUUUUUGGCUUCUAUGAAAAUUUCCUUAAAGAACAUCAUGUGUAUUUCAAUUGCGUGGAGCGCCUUUAAACUUCACAUUUCAUUAAGGUCUUAGAGAAAUAUUGAAAAAAUAUUGCAAAUGGUUUCAUUCCUCUUUGGUACUCGGUCAGACACUCUACAGUUAUUUUACUCCUCACCCCAAUAUUGUGAAAUGCCUUGUAAACAUUUCAGAGCAAAGACAACAGGGGUAGAAUGCACAGAUUGAGUGGCCCUCCUCAUUAGAGGUACAUUUUCGCUGUAAUGCAUGUGUAGCCCCCAGGAUAUUGAGCAUCACAUAAUUUAACUGUCGUCAACCCCCAUCGCUACCACUGGGAUGAAUGACUUCUGAAAGAGGGGAAGUGUUAUCCCAGAGAGAGACUAGUUCGCAGUUCAGAUCCCGAUCAAGAAAUGAACAUUUCACCAAAAGGCUUCAAAAUGCCUCCUCCUCUUUCAGGAUGGUGAACAUGGAUCAAGAGGAGAGAGACCACAGACCCUGGACCAGAACCAUCAAGGUUUGGGAGAGGCAGCAUCCUGGAGCUGUCCCCUUUACCCAGAGUUUUGGAGGGAUGCAGUCUUCUGUAGAAAUUAAUUGAUAAAGACUGACUUGUUCGCUUGGUAUUUUGAAAGAGAGCUUCUGCAAGCUUAUAUAUGCUAUAAAUCACCAAAUGUUGAUGCCUGUUGGUGGACAGAUUGGAAAAGACACCUCUUCCUCCUGGCACGGCUAGCACGGGACAGGCUGGAUUUCAGCCCCUACUCCUACCACUCCCCCACACCCACCAAGUGGGUGCUUCUUUGCAGUGUGCAAUCUGCACAACUGUACAUGGCUUGAAAACAUGCAUAAGCUAAAGCUAAUAACUCCUGAAACAAAUUCUGAAGCAAGGAGUGAAUAUAUUAAUGCCAGUGGCAAAGAAGGUGAGCAGUAUAGGCAGACGGAAGCAUCACAGAGACUGCAAAAAGAAUGUUGUAGACCAGCUCGUAGUAGACACUUCUUGGCCAUGCUGGUUAAGAAUUAUCACCAGUUUCUUAGGACUUGGAAACUUGGAAAUACACUGAAUGUCCUUUCUAGUUUGUUAUAGCGUAUGUAUGUGUGGUUCCCGUUAUAGAGUAUAUCUUCGAUCAUUCCUAUUUAAUCUUGAAGCUGUUAAUCCCCAUAUGACUGUUACAUUGAAGAUUCUGAAGCCCAGAAUAUUCAAAACCAGCAUUCCUUACUGGGAAAGGAUGUUUAUACAAACACUGAGGCAUGGAAGGGAGUUAGGGGGAAAAGGGAAAGCAAAUGUCAUUCCAGGCAGAGGAAAUGAGUUAGGUAAGGGUGUGGAGGUGCAUUAAGAGAAUGGAGUCUUUUAGGAAGUGUUUUUGCACCUGAUUAAAUCUGGGUGUCCCUGGAGAUACUGAGUUGAUUAUAGCACAUUCCCUGCCCCGGAGGAGCUAGAAGUAUUUUGACAUCUACCCUAUUUGAUCUUCACACAAAUUCCAUAAAUUAAGUAGCAAAGAUCUUAUCAAGUGAAAAUCACUGGGGAGGAAAUUGGAGCCUAAAAAAGUACACAACACUUAAGGUUACACAGCUAAUUCUAGGUAAGCUGGGACUGAAACCCAGCCCCCCAGUGGCCAGCCUGCAUCUUCCAACUAGAUCAGAAGAGGAGGGUAGCUUUUUCCUCCCUCCUUAGGAUAGGGCAGCAAACUUUUUCUACAAAGCAUUGUUAUGAUUGUGAUUACGAUUUAUCAGUCAGUAGAUAUGGAGGAAGAGAGUAUAAUCAGGUCCAUUCACUUCUCUUGGCUACUAGUGAAAAUAUAAAAAUUUUUUCAGGGUGAGUUAGCAGGAGUGAAAUGCAAUGAAAAACGUAUUUGUGAAGAGAAUAAAGUUGAUUGAAGGAGU